rnacentral:misc_RNA from 1 species
UGAAGGGCUUCCUUCAACAAAGGUUUUGCGUCCAUAACAGUUGUGGCAUCGUAGUGGAUGCCAAUGUAUUUAUCUGUAAAAGGGUUCCACUCCUGAACAUCCAUACCAUUUAUGAUACCAGUAAUGCCAGUUUUGCGAAUGAUGUUAUCCAGCUCCACACCUCUUUCAACUCCAGAGAUAACUUCCUGGGCAUAGUAUGGGCUCACACUCAAAACCCUGUCUGAUUCCAAUAUUCCA